CCUCGCCCAUCGUUUCCUCUGCUCGUCGGUCGAGUUCUCUCGGCUGGCGGGUCGUUGACCGGUGUGCGUGGAUUCUGCUGCUCUUUCGCAAUGGGCGCAUGAGUGGUGUUUGGGUCGUGCGUGUUGGCAGGCUCCGUGCCGGACGGCAUCGAACUGUCUAACAGCGGCCCUCUUCAGUCCGUCUCCCACGCGGCCAGCGUGCCCUGGGGGCAAAAAUCGGGAUUCUGUGCUGCGUACCUCAAUCGAUGGAAAUCGGAUGCCUAAGCGGUCCCUCUUCCGUCUCGUGCCCCCAGGGGCUACGGGACGGACCCAAUGCCGCACCCCGUGUCCCAAGCAUGCCCCCGAAACCGGUGCGGCUGCAUUGGUGCAUGGGCGUACGGUCGUGCUCUCGGAUGCGGAACGUUCCCUGGGCGUGGGGUCUCUGCCCCGAUCGUCCGAUGCCACGCAUUUCGUCCCUCGACUCGAACGAUGCUCGCGCCUCGUCUUGGCCUCGUUUGCCGCUCCGUCGGUGAGUCGAGUGC
rnacentral:misc_RNA from 1 species